GGUUCGUUGGUGUAGUUGGUUAUCACGUCUGUCUCACAUUGCAGCCCGGAUGGGUUGUGUGGUGCACAGGAGGUCCCCGGUUCGAGCCCGGGUCGAACCA